CUUCCUUCUUUUCUUUUUCUCUUUUCCUUCCCAGUUGCUCUGGUUUCCGAAAUUAUCUCCAUCCUGCGCACCUGCUCCCCAUGUUCCUGUAGUUAUACUCGGUUCUUCACUUGAAGAUUUCCCUCACCACUCCUGAUUCACUCCGAUUUUUCUCCCUCUUACUCAUACCGGUUCAUCCUUGCGGGAGCUGCAUUGCUCUCCUUCACUCCGUGUGUCCUCAAAAACUCAUCGCUGCUGACUUGGGUUCCACGACAGUGAGUCAUCUCUCUCCCCCUUCCUUUGUUUCUCUUUGCCUCUUAGAUAGUUUGGUGAAUUUUUUCCUUUGGGUUUUGGCACCUUACUGUCGCCGUCAAGUUCUCCCUAGAGUUUUCUUUCCGGUAACCAUCCCUCUCAUUCACUGGUUUCACAUUUAAUUUUUACUUCGACCCCCUGCUUUUGUACACACGCAAACCCUGUCUUUUACUUUGUGCUGCUUUGAUUUUUUUUCACACACACACCCACUCUGUUUUGGUUGCAGUGCACACACUCACACCCUUCAUCCUUCCUUGCACAGACCAUCGUCUAUUUCCACUAGAGAUUCUAGUGAAUUUUGGGCUUAAUUUACAGUGGGUUGCUUCGAUUGAGGAGGUGCAAAGCUUUUGUGUUUCAUUUAAGUGGUGUUUCUACUAGAGUUCCGACUCAAAGCGUAGAUAAUACAUGGAAGUCAGGUUGCUGUCAACACUGUAAUUCAAGAUGACAAAUAUUUCCUUGAUCACAUUAUCAAAUCAACCAACAAGAAGUGCCUCAUGGCACCAUAAGUUAUAUCUUCUUACUAUCAGCCAAUUUGAUGUCUAUGCCAUAUCCAGGUCUCAGGGCAACUAGUUAUGAUUUCCAAAAAACGUUGGGCAUAGAAAUUACUCAAUUGAAUUGCUUGCUAUGGUGUCACUAGUUGUGGCUUUGCAUGGAGCACAUCCCAAUAGUCUUUGAGUAUUAUGACA